ACCAAGCCAUCUUGAGAACAUGCCAUUUUACUUUCAAUAUAAGCACUCAUGAACAUAUAUACAAAGCUAUGACUUAUAAGUCUUAUACAUGGAUAUCAACUAUCCAAAUUAGGCUACAUUUCACAAGCAUACUUCAAAUUAUAAGUGUUCAAACUCAAUUCCAUCUCAAUCACUUAUUAACCAAGCUAUCAUUUCAAUUUUUC
rnacentral:lncRNA from 1 species